UACGUAUGGUGCAAGCGUUAUCCGGAUUUACUGGGUGUAAAGGGAGCGUAGGCGGCGCGUUAAGUCUGAUGUGAAAACCCGAGGCUCAACCACGGGAGCGCAUUGGAAACUGGCGUGCUGGAGUGCCGGAGAGGUAAGCGGAAUUCCUAGUGUAGCGGUGAAAUGCGUAGAUAUUAGGAGGAACACCAGUGGCGAAGGCGGCUUACUGGACGGCAACUGACGCUGAGGCUCGAAAGCGUGGGGAGCAAACAGG
rnacentral:rRNA from 1 species